AUGGUUGACCAUAGAACAUGCGCUACUUCUGUGUCGUAUGUAGUAUGGUCCACAUCU
rnacentral:pre_miRNA from 2 species